UACGGAGGGGGCUAGCGUUGUCCGGAUUUACUGGGCGUAAAGAGCGCGCAGGCGGUCGUUCAAGUCGCGUGUGAAAGCCCCCGGCUCAACUGGGGAGGGUCACGCGAUACUGAUCGACUCGAAGGCAGGAGAGGGUAGUGGAAUUCCCGGUGUAGUGGUGAAAUGCGUAGAUAUCGGGAGGAACACCAGUGGCGAAGGCGACUACCUGGCCUGUUCUUGACGCUGAGGCGCGAAAGCUAGGGGAGCAAACGGG
rnacentral:rRNA from 1 species